CUAAGGUGAAGUCCCAAGGGCUCACCAGUUGGGUCCACGCUUCACACUGCAAGAAGACCUCACCACCCUUGGACCCCACCAGUAUACCCUUGUGCCCUGCGG